GCCCUGACUGGCUGGUAUCUCAGGCCUGGAAGAGCCAGGCUCAGGGGGACUUGGGGCCAGAGUGGGUGAGGACAGGUGCGUGAUGCCACCAACUCUGGCCAGAACAGGCUUUGGGUGGGUGGGCACGGAAGGGUCCCAGAACCAGGCCUGGUCCCCCGCCCCGGCCAUUCCUCAGGGUCCCGCCCAGGCCUUGGCCUCUGGACGGGUCAGUCCCAACCCAAGUCCAGGCUCCUCCCUUCACCCGCCAUUGCCGCUCUGCCGUGGCCUUGGCCUUGGCCUAUGCAAACCACUGUUCACAAAUGUGUAAGAUUUUCCAAGCCAGUUCGUUACAGGAGACGAAUUUCAGGACAUGAACAUGAGUCUUUUUGCACCAUUUAUUUUUUGAACUCACCCUCUUCGUGGAAAAAUAGCUGCAAGUGUGAAAAUGAGUCGGCCCUGAGUCUUAUGAGACCUGCAAGGUGCAGGCGGGUACGCUGGAGAAGCUGGUGGGGCACCUGGUGCCCGCCUUCCAGGGCAGCGACCUCUCCUACGUCACCGUCUUCCUGUGCACCUACCGGGCCUUCGCCACCACCCAGAAAGUCCUGGACCUGCUGUUCGAAAGCAGGUACGGUGGGUGUGACGCACUCACGGCCUCCUCUAGAUACGGCUGCAUCCUGCCUUAUGCCCACGAGGACGGCGGGCCCCAGGACCAGCUGAAAAAUGCCAUCUCCUCCAUCCUGGGCACCUGGCUGGACCAGUACUCGGAGGACUUCGUCAGCCCUGCGACUUUCCCUGCCUCAAGCAGCUGGUGGCCUAUGUGCAGCUCAACGUGCCCGGCUCCGACCUGGAGCGCUGUGCCCACCUUCUCCUGGCCCAGCUGGAGCAUGCGGAGCUCACCCAGGCAGAGCCGGAGGCUUCACUGCAUCUCAGGAUCUAGCGAAGGCGACGGCACCAGCUCCUGGACCAUCUGAAGUUCUGGAUCCAGCGGAAGAAGCAGCAACAGAACCAAAGCCACAUCCUGCGCUGGAGGAACAUGUGCAUUCGUAGCCAGAGCGACACGGCGGGUCGGCAGCUCCAGAGCAAAGCAAACGCCACGGUCAGUUCCGUCAGCACCUCCACCCGGACCUGCAGCUACACCUGCUCCUGCAGGAGACCCCGAGCAGGUCAGGUCCCGCCAGAACGGUCCUUCCCUCCCCUGUUAUUGUCUGGGGU